CCUACGGGAGGCAGCAGUGGGGAAUUUUGCGCAAUGGGCGGAAGCCUGACGCAGCAACGCCGCGUGCGGGAUGAAGGCCUUAGGGUUGUAAACCGCUUUCAGUGGGAACGAUUGUGACGGUACCUGCAGAAGAAGGUGCGGCCAACUACGUGCCAGCAGCCGCGGUGACACGUAGGCACCGAGCGUUGUCCGGAUUUAUUGGGCGUAAAGAGCUCGUAGGCGGUUGAGUAAGUCGGGUGUGAAAACUGUGGGCUUAACCCGGAGAGGCCACUCGAUACUGCUUUGACUUGAGUUCGGUAGGGGAGCAGGGAAUUCCUAGUGUAGCGGUGAAAUGCGCAGAUAUUAGGAGGAACACCGGUGGCGAAGGCGCUGCUCUGGGCCGAUACUGACGCUGAGGAGCGAAAGCGUGGGUAGCAAACAGGAUUAGAUACCCUAGUAGU
rnacentral:rRNA from 1 species